GACGAACGCUGGCGGCGUGCUUAACACAUGCAAGUCGAACGGUAAGGCCCUUCGGGGUACACGAGUGGCGAACGGGUGAGUAACACGUGGGUGAUCUGCCCUGCACUUCGGGAUAAGCCUGGGAAACUGGGUCUAAUACCGGAUAGGACCACUGCCUGCAUGGGGGGUGGUGGAAAGCUUUUGCGGUGUGGGAUGGGCCCGCGGCCUAUCAGCUUGUUGGUGGGGUGAUGGCCUACCAAGGCGACGACGGGUAGCCGGCCUGAGAGGGUGACCGGCCACACUGGGACUGAGAUACGGCCCAGACUCCUACGGGAGGCAGCAGUGGGGAAUACUGCACAAUGGGCGCAAGCCUGAUGCAGCGACGCCGCGUGGGGGAUGACGGCCUUCGGGUUGUAACCUCUUUCAGCACCGACGAAGCGCAAGUGACGGUAGGUGCAGAAGAAGGACCGGCCAACUACGUGCCAGCCGCCGCCGUAA
rnacentral:rRNA from 1 species